rnacentral:rRNA from 1 species
UACGUAGGGUGCAAGCGUUAAUCGGAAUUACUGGGCGUAAAGCGUGCGCAGGCGGUUGUGCAAGACAGGUGUGAAAUCCCCGGGCUUAACCUGGGAACUGCAUUGGUGACUGGCAGGCUUUGAGUGUGGCAGAGGGAGGUAGAAUUCCAGGUGUAGCGGUGAAAUGCGUAGAUAUCUGGAGGAACACCGGUGGCGAAGGCGGCAUCCUGGACCGGCAUUGACGCUGAGGAGCGAAAGCCAGGGGAGCAAACGGG